AUAUGUGUUAUUUCGUAGUUUUGUUGUCUUCACUGUUAUUCUACAAUGUAGAAAAUAGUAAAAAAUAAAGAAAACCCUUGAAUGAGUAGGUGUAAAACCUUUGACCGGUAGUGUACUAAACCUUGCAUAGAGCCAAUACAUUCUAUACACUUUAUACUGGAUUACGUUUAUAUUUUGUUUAACUUUCAUUUAGUUAUGUUCCAACUUUCCCUCCAUCUUGUGCCAACAUCAGUUCUUUUUAAGUCUUGGUUCCAAUAGUUUAUAGUUGUUUUUCUAAGAGAUGCAAGAGACAAAAUUCACAACUUCUACAGCACAAACGGCAGAGUCAUGUCUUCAGUGUAAAACUAACAAUGACUCAAUAACCCAUGCAUUCUGGGAAUGUUAUGAUGUCAUAAAGAUACGGGCGGAGUUGGAACGUUGGCUGUCAGAAGUAUUACAAUGUAAACUUCAUUUUAAAUCCGUCUGUCUGCAUAUUUCAGGACAUGACAUAUGAAGGGUGUAAUGAGAGACCCAUGGGGGGGGGGGAUACUUUACUCGUCAAUGAUUUAGAAGAAAACGUUGACCUAAAAAAAACUGGAAAUCACAUGAUCAUACAUCAUUACAACAGUGGAUGAAUCCAAAUGUUUAUUUAAAUAUUGAAAAUGUGUGGGCUACGGAGAAACAUUCUACAGUGCCAUUUGAGGCCAUAUUUCAUAGAGUUCUACAAGCACCGGAACCUUCCAGGGGAGGACGGAUGAGGGGGGGGGACAUAUGUGAUGUGUACAGUAACAGUGGGAACAUGUGGGUCUGAGCAGGUGUGAUGUCAUUGAUGUUUUGGUAACAUUAGUGGUCUGUUUAUGGUCUUUGUUUAUGCAUGUUGUUAUUGUAAAAUUAUAUUUCAACAUGAAAACACUCACAGUUUACAGUUAUACACUUUACAGUUAUACACUUUACAGUUAACAUUCACACUUUACAGUUAACACUCAUACUUUACAGUUAUACACUUUACAGUUAACACUCAUACUUUACAGUUAUACACUUUACAGUUAACACUCAUACUUUACAGUUAUACACUUUACAGUUAACAUUCACACUUUACAGUUAACACUCAUACUUUACAGUUAUACACUUUACAGUUAACACUCAUACUUUACAGUUAUACACUUUACAGUUAACACUCAUACUUUACAGUUAUAUACUUUACAGUGAACACUCACACUAUACAGGUAACACUCACACUUUACAAUUAUACACUUUACAGUGAACACUCACACUAUACAGGUAACACUCACACUUUACAAUUAUACACUUUACAGUUAACACUCAAACUUUACAAUUAUACACUUUACAGUUAACACUCACACUUUACAGUUCAAACUUUACAGUUAUACACUUUACAGUUAACAUUCACACUUUACAGUAACACUCAUACUUUACAGUUAUACACUUUACAGUGAACACUCACACUAUACAGUUAACACUCACACUUUACAAUUAUACACUUUACAGUUAACACUCAAACUUUACAAUUAUACACUUUACAGUUAACACUCACACUUUACAGUUCAAACUUUACAGUUAUACACUAUACAGUUACCCUCACACUUUACAGUUAACAUUCACACUGUACAGUUAUACACUUUACAGUUCACACUCACACUUUACAGUUCACACUCAUAGUUAACACUCAAACAUCAAAACAUCAAUAUACACACUUAGUGCCACAUUAUAUUUGGCUCUGUUGUAUCAAAGGCCCUAUAGUUUCCUAAUGUCCCUGGGCCUAUACGGCUGUAUAUGGGGCUACAUAUAGGGGCUAUACCCCAAACUGGAAAUGAUCACAUCUGGAAUGCUAUAGGUUCACUCUCUGCCUUAAAUGAGUCAGCUGGGAUCUGAAAACAGAGACAGAACGUUCCUCAUCUGUCUGAACUCUUAACCAUCUCAGAGACAAGACGUUUCUCAUCUGUCUGAACUCUUAACCAUCUCAGAGACAAGACGUUUCUCAUGUGUCUGAACUCUUAAACCAUCUCAGAGACAAGACGUUCCUCAUCUGUCUGAACUCUUAAACCAUCUCAGAGACAAGACGUUUCUCAUCUGUCUGAACUCUUAACCAUCUCAGAGACAAGACGUUUCUCAUCUGUCUGAACUCUUAACCAUCUCAGAGACAAGACGUUCCUCAUCUGUCUGAACUCUUAACCAUCUCAGAGACAAGACGUUUCUCAUCUGUCUGAACUCUUAACCAUCUCAGAGACGAGACGUUCCUCAUCUGUCUGAACUCUUAACCAUCUCAGAGACAAGACGUUUCUCAUCUGUCUGAACCCUUAACCAUCUCAGAGACAAGACAUUUCUCAUCUGUCUGAACCCUUAACCAUCUCAGAGACAAGAUGUUUCUCAUCUGUCUGAACUCUUAACCAUCUCAGAGACAAGACGUUUCUCAUCUGUCUGAACUCUUAACCAUCUCAGAGACAAGACGUUUCUCAUCUGUCUGAACUUUUAACCAUCUCAGAGACAAGACGUUUCUCAUCUGUCUGAACUCUUAACCAUCUCAGAGACAAGACGUUUCUCAUCUGUCUGAACUCUUAACCAUCUCAGAGACAAGGCGUUUCUCAUCUGUCUGAACUCUU